GUGACCCUGUGGGUGCGCUUUGAGAACAGAAAGCCUAGGCCUUUUCCAGCUCACUCUGCUUUGUACCUGCAGUUAAAGAUGUGAGCUGUGUGUUUUCUGUUCCUGUCCCUAUGCUCGCUGCUUGCUGCCUCGCUCCCACCAGGAUGGACUCUUACCCUUCAGGAGCCAAAAGGCAAAAAGAAAACAACUCCUGUGGUCCGAAUCUCAGGCUGUCCUCAAAGAUUUCAUGUAGCCCAGCUUCAUGAGGCUUCAGACUCUUCGUCCUCCUCUUCGUCUUCUCUAACCCUCAGAUUACAGGCAUGCAACACCACAUCCAGGUGGAUUUUUUAUCAAACCUUACUUCUAACAGAAAAGCAAAGGAAAGGAUUCAUGAAAAAGACAUAAAAGCAAACAAGAAAACUCUG